rnacentral:rRNA from 1 species
GACGAACGCUGGCGGCGUGCUUAACACAUGCAAGUCGAACGGAAAGGCCCUGCUUGCAGGGUACUCGAGUGGCGAACGGGUGAGUAACACGUGGGUGAUCUGCCCUGCACUUCGGGAUAAGCUUGGGAAACUGGGUCUAAUACCGGAUAGGAGCCAUCUUUAGUGUGGUGGUUGGAAAGUUUUUUCGGUGUAGGAUGAGCUCGCGGCCUAUCAGCUUGUUGGUGGGGUAAUGGCCUACCAAGGCGGCGACGGGUAGCCGGCCUGAGAGGGUGUACGGCCACAUUGGGACUGAGAUACGGCCCAGACUCCUACGGGAGGCAGCAGUGGGGAAUAUUGCACAAUGGGCGCAAGCCUGAUGCAGCGACGCGCGUGGGGGAUGAAGGCCUUCGGGUUGUAAACUCCUUUCGCUAGGGACGAAGCGUUUUUGUGACGGUACCUAGAUAAGAAGCACCGGCUAACUACGUG